rnacentral:tRNA from 1 species
CGUCGGUAAGCUCAAGUGGUAGAGCGGCAGUCUGAAACGCUGCGCGUAGAGGGUUCGACUCCCUCACCGACGA